GGGGACGUGGCGGAAUUGGUAGACGCACUGGAUUUAGGUUCCAGCGCCGAGAGGUGUGAGAGUUCGAGUCUCUCCGUCCCCA
rnacentral:tRNA from 3 species